rnacentral:rRNA from 1 species
AUGAACGCUGGCGGCGUGCCUAAUACAUGCAAGUCGAGCGAACGGACGAGAAGCUUGCUUCUCUGAUGUUAGCGGCGGACGGGUGAGUAACACGUGGAUAACCUACCUAUAAGAUUGGGAUAACUUCGGGAAACCGGAGCUAAUACCGGAUAAUAUUUUGAACCGCAUGGUUCAAAAGUAAAAGACGGUCUUGCUGUCACUUAUAGAUGGAUCCGCGCUGCAUUAGCUAGUUGGUAAGGUAACGGCUUACCAAGGCAACGAUGCAUAGCCGACCUGAGAGGAUGAUCGGCCACACUGGAACUGAGACACGGUCCAGACUCCUACGGGAGGCAGCAGUAGGGAAUCUUCCGCAAAGGGCGAAAGCCUGACGGAGCAACGCCGCGUGAGUGAUGAAGGUCUUCGGAUCGUAAAACUCUGUUAUUAGGGAAGAACAUAUGUGUAAGUAACUGUGCACAUCUUGACGGUACCUAAUCAGAAAGCCACGGCUAACUACGUG